GAUGAACGCUGGCGGCGUGCCUAAUACAUGCAAGUCGAGCGAACAGACGAGGAGCUUGCUCCUCUGACGUUAGCGGCGGACGGGUGAGUAACACGUGGAUAACCUACCUAUAAGACUGGGAUAACUUCGGGAAACCGGAGCUAAUACCGGAUAAUAUAUUGAACCGCAUGGGUCAAUAGUGAAAGACGGUUUUGCUGUCACUUAUAGAUGGAUCCGCGCCGCAUUAGCUAGUUGGUAAGGUAACGGCUUACCAAGGCAACGAUGCGUAGCCGACCUGAGAGGGUGGUCGGCCACACUGGAGCUGAGACACGGUCCAGACUCCUACGGGAGGCAGCAGUAGGGAAUCUUCCGCAAUGGGCGAAAGCCUGACGGAGCAACGCCGCGUGAGUGAUGAAGGUCUUCGGAUCGUAAAACUCUGUUAUUAGGGAAGAACAAAUGUGUAAGUAACUAUGCACGUCUUGACGGUACCUAAUCAGAAAGCCACGGCUAACUACGUG
rnacentral:rRNA from 1 species